rnacentral:rRNA from 1 species
CGGUGUUUAACUGGCGUGAUGUGGGACGUCCUACCGGUGGGCUUAGCCUCGCGAGGGGCGGCCCAACUAAUAUCCCGUCGCGGUGCUCUUUACUGAGUGUCGAGUCGGGCCGGUACGUUUACUUUGAACAAAUUAGAGUGCUUAAAGCAGGCUAUCCUCGCCUGAAUACUGCGUGCAUGGAAUAAUGGAAUAGGACCUCGGUUCUAUUUUGUUGGUUUUCGGAACCCCGAGGUAAUGAUUAAUAGGGACAGAUGGGGGCAUUCGUAUUGCGACGUUAGAGGUGAAAUUCUUGGAUCGUCGCAAGACGGACAGAAGCGAAAGCAUUUGCCAAAAAUGUUUUCAUUAAUCAAGAACGAAAGUUAGAGGUUCGAAGGCGAUCAGAUACCGCCCUAGUUCUAACCAUAAACGAUGCCAGCUAGCGAUCCGCCGAAGUUCCUCCGAUGACUCGGCGGGCAGCUUCCGGGAAACCAAAGCUUUUGGGUUCCGGGGGAAGUAUGGUUGCAAAGCUGAAACUUAAAGGAAUUGACGGAAGGGCACCACCAGGAGUGGAGCCUGCGGCUUAAUUUGACUCAACACGGGAAACCUCACCAGGCCCAGACACCGGAAGGAUUGACAGAUUGAUAGCUCUUUCUUGAUUCGGUGGGUGGUGGUGCAUGGCCGUUCUUAGUUGGUGGAGCGAUUUGUCUGGUUAAUUCCGAUAACGAACGAGACUCCAGCCUGCUAAAUAGGCGUACCUUAUGGUAUCGCGAAGGCCCCCGGCUUCGGCCGGUGGGUUUUUACUACCAACGUACAAACAAAUCUUCUUAGAGGGACAGGCGG